AGGCUGAGAGCCCUCGGGACACCUUGGCUUCUGCCGCCACAAUGCUUGGGGAGCAAAUCAGGAGAGCGGCAGCGAGAACUGAAGUUAUCUCAAAAUUCCCGGAUACAGAACAACUAUUUUCAGUUUUGAUACAGAUUCCAGAGCAGGGUACAGUAUGUCACAAAAUACACACUGGAGAAUCAAUUAUUUGUCUAUAAUAUGUAAUAUAUAAAUGUGAUGUCUAUAAUUCAUCUUAGUCGAUGCAAAUGUACUUUGGAAAAUGUAACCAGAAUUAUUUGCCACUAUAAGUAGCCAUAAAAAGACAUUGCUGUUUCACUGUACAAAGCCAGGUGUGAAAUGGAAUAAGCUAUUGCAAGGUGAGUUGGGUGAAUACUGCUUCAUAUCCUUUGAAAAUAAAUUGCAAAGCA